CGAGCGCGUUGCCCCUUCGGGGGCGAGUAGAGCGGCGAAAGGGCGAGUAAUGCGUUUCUACGUACCCCGAGGUCGAGGAUAGCCCAGGGAAACUUGGAUUAAUACUCGAUGCGGCGCUUCGGCGUCAAAGGCUUGCCGCCUCGGGAGCGGGGAACGUCCUAUCAGGUUGUUGGUGAGGUAAAGGCUCACCAAGCCGAAGACGGGUAGCGGGUGUGAGAGCAUGACCCGCCGCAUCGGGACUGAGACACUGCCCGGACUCCUACGGGAGGCUGCAGUAACGAAUCUUCCGCAAUGCGCGAAAGCGUGACGGAGCAAUGCCGCGUGCAGGAUGAAGCCCUUCGGGGUGUAAACUGCUGUCAGGGUUCAGCAACUCAAUGAGCAGACCCAAAGGAAGGACCGGCUAAGUUCGUGCCAGCAGCCGCGGUAAUACGAACGGUCCGAGCGUUGCGCGGAAUCACUGGGCUUAAAGCGUACGUAGGCGGGCGCGCAGGCGUUUUGUGAAAGCCCUCGGCUCAACCGAGGAAUUGCUUGACGAACCGCGCGUCUUGAGGCAGGUAGGGGUCGUCGGAACGAUAGGUGGAGUGGUGAAAUGCGUUGAUAUCUAUCGGAACGCCGAAGGAGAAAUCAGGCGACUGGGCCUGUCCUGACGCUGAGGUACGAAAGCGUGGGGAGCGAACGGGAUUAGAUACCCUGGUA
rnacentral:rRNA from 1 species